rnacentral:rRNA from 1 species
UACGGAGGGUCCGAGCGUUGUCCGGAAUUAUUGGGUGUAAAGGGUGUGUAGGCGGGCGGGCAAGUCAGGGGUGAAAGGCAGCGGCUCAACCGCUGGAAUGCCUUUGAUACUGCCGGCCUUGAGUUCCGGAGAGGCCAUUGGAAUUCGUGGUGUAGCGGUGAAAUGCGUAGAUAUCACGAGGAACACCGGAAGCGUAGGCGAAUGGCUGGACGGCGACUGACGCUGAGGCACGAAAGCGUGGGGAGCGAACAGG